UACGUAGGGGGCGAGCGUUGUCCGAAGUUACUGGGCGUAAAGCGCGCGUAGGCGGGGGAUUAAGUGAGAGGUGAAAGGCUGGGGCUCAACCCCAUGCAGUGCCUCUCAUACUGGUCUUCUUGAGGGCGGUAGGGAGAAGUGGAAUGGCUGGUGUAGCGGUGAAAUGCGUAGAUAUUGGGAAGAACACCUGAGGCGAAGGCGGGUUGCUGGGCCGACACUGACGCUGAGGCGCGAAAGCCAGGGGAGCAAACGGG
rnacentral:rRNA from 1 species